GGUUGUUGGGAUGAUGAUAAAUGUUUAAUCCCAGCUCAUUAUGAGACCUUUCGAGGUCUGGGAAUGUAACUAUCCACAUGUAUCUGAUCCUCUAUU